CUUGGGCUGCAUUGAUAAAAAGAGCUGAGCAGGUAACACAAUGUGCUCUGCCAUUGUAUUUGUGCUUGCUUACCUGCUGCUGUCGCUCUCUGUUUAUGGCAGUGACUCUGCUGUUGCCUUCUGCAGCAUUAUGCUUAGCUAAGCUGUAAAUUAGCUCUCCUGAACCGCCUGCAAGCUCCACUGCCUCAGGUUCAGCAGGAAGAGGCUCCAAAUGCCUCCACACAAUCAGCCUGCAUAGCCAGUGUGACAUCCGUGCUGAGACUGUCCAUGGCAAGACAUCCUGCUUGCACCUGGAAGUCUCCUGCCAAGAUGGGAAGGCCUGGAGGUUCACAGAUCAUCCAGAAGAGCCAGGAUAAGGUCAGAGGUCAUCUGCCUCCUUCCUCAGCAUCCUGUGGCGCCUGGGAAGAAUCAGAAGCCUCAGCAGCUGACAAGACAGUAGCAGAAUUCCCUGGCAGCAUUUGGGUACUGUCUGAAACUGCAGCCAGCCCCACGAGUCAGGAGAUAUUUUGACAGUGCUGUUCCACCUGGAGCCAGCCGCCAACCAGCACUCAUCUGCAGGUCACUCUUUCAUCUUCUGUGCUUGAAAGGAAGCAGAACUCCUCUUGUGGUGCCACUGACCCGGUGUGGACCAGCUUCUCAGUGAGUGCCUGGAGGAGUGUGAGCAGCGUGGCCCUGGCUCAGCGAUGCCAGCAGCAGCUCCCCUGUGCCAGGAGCCUCACCCGCGCACCCCAGGGACUGCUUCACCUCCUCACAGCCCACAGAUCCUGUGCCUGAAGUGUGAUGGAGACCACAGCUCCUCCUCCACCUGGGGUCAAGGCUGGUUCCAGGCGUUCGUUACACUGCACCGCUCCCAUCCUCAUGGAAUUAGCUGCUUUCUGCAGCAAUUAACAGGAGAUUGCUUCUGAAGGAGCUCUGCACCUCUGGUCAGGCAAGAGGGCAUCCAGGACACAGACACAUUAGGAUGAGAACACUGAGGAGGGGACAGCGAAUGCACUGGAAAAGGAGCUUCGAAUGCCCGGCUGGCACCAAGCUUUCACCGGGGGCUUCAGUGCAGCUCAGGUGGAGCAGCUGAGAUCUGGGUGCAGGAGCUCUGCAGCAGUGGCCACAUCUUGAUCUGACCCCUUCCCUGCCAGCAGCUGCAGCCACACCAGGUACGCUGGGCACCUCUGGGUGUCACUGCACAGCCACACCGGGCACCUCUGGGUGUCACUACACAGCCACACCGGGCACGCUGGGCACCUCUGGGUAUCACUGCACAGCCACACCGGGCACGCUGGGCACCUCUGGGUGUCACUACACAGCCACACCGGGCACGCUGGGCACCUCUGGGUAUCACUGCACAGCCACACCGGGCACCUCUGGGUGUCACUACACAGCCACACCAGGUAUGCUGGGCACCUCUGGGUAUCACUGCACAGCCACACCGGGCACGCUGGGCACCUCUGGGUG